rnacentral:rRNA from 1 species
UAUUUUGCAGUUGGAGCGGCGCAAGGGUGCGUAACACGUGGGUAAUCUGCCGGGAAGUUUGGGAUAACUCGCUGAAAGGCGAGCUAAUACCGGAUGUGGCUGAGGGGAGGCAUCUCUCUUUGGCUAAAGUUGGGGACCGCAAGGCCUGACGCUUUCUGAUGAACCCGCGGCCUAUCAGCUAGUUGGUGAGGUAACGGCCCACCAAGGCUAGGACGGGUAGCUGGUCUGAGAGGACGACCAGCCACACUGGAACUGAGACACGGUCCAGACACCUACGGGUGGCAGCAGUCGAGAAUUUUUCACAAUGGGGGAAACCCUGAUGGAGCGACGCCGCGUGGGGGAUGAAUGGCUUCGGCCCGUAAACCCCUGUCAUUCGCGAUCAAAGCGCAUUGUUUAAGAGAUGAUGUGUUGAUAGUAGCGGAAGAGGAAGGGACGGCUAACUCUGUGCCAGCAGCCGCGGUAAUACAGAGGUCCCGAGCGUUGUUCGGAUUCACUGGGCGUAAAGGGUGCGUAGGUGGUGGGGAAAGUCGGAUGUGAAAUCUCGGAGCUCAACUCC